rnacentral:rRNA from 1 species
AUUGAACGCUGGCGGCAGGCCUAACACAUGCAAGUCGAGCGAGCGGCGGACGGGUGAGUAAUGUAUGGGGACUGCCCGAUCGAGGGGGAUAACUACUGGAAACGGUAGCUAAUACCGCAUACUAUCGGAUAACCCAUAUGGGAUUAGCUAGUAGGUGAGGUAAUGGCUCACCUAGGCGACGAUCCCUAGCUGGUCCGAGAGGAUGAUCAGCCACCCUGGGACUGAGACACGGCCCAGACUCCUACGGAGGCCGCAGUGGGGAAUAUUGCACGAUGGGCGCAAGCCUGAUGCAGCCAUGCCACGUGUAUGAAGAAGGCCCUAGGGUUGUAAAAUCCUUUCAGUCGGGAGGCGUUACCGACAGAAGAAGCACCGGCUAACUCCGUGCCAGCCGCCGCGGUAAUUC